UUUUCCCCACCCGGGGACCUUUCUGCUGACUGAAUCCUAUCUUUCCCUAUCAUAAGAUCAUCCUGGAUCUUCUGGAUGAGCCCCAAAUCCAAAGAAUGAGAAGUGUCCUGAUAAGAAACAGAUGAGGGGCAUCUGGCUGGCUCAGUUGGUAGAGCAUGCGACUCUUGAACUUGUAAAUUGGAGCCCAUGUUGGGUGUAGAGUUUACUUAAAAAUGAAAUCUUGAAAAGAGAAGAAACAGAAGAAGAGAAAACAGAGAGAAGAAAGCAAAGAGACAGAGGUGGAGCCAGAGGAUGGAAUGAUGUGGCCACAGGCCAAGGGAUGCCCCGGGGCCACAGGAUCUGAAAGAAGCAGGGAAGGAUCCUCUCCUAGAGCUUUCCGAGGGAGCCAGGCCCUGAGGUCACCUUGAUCUCAGACUUCCGGCCUCCAGAAAGGUCACCCACUGAAAACUUAAGGAAUGAAGAGAAACUUUGUUUUGUUCCAUCAGAAAUCUAGGCGAGAAUAAUUUCAAACCAUGCUGACAAUGGAGUCAUCAAAUUGCUGUUAAGAUUUCCUUUUCUGCAUAAAUCUACCAGAAUCAGUUUCCAGUGCUUGCAUUUGUGAAUCUCAACUGGUGGAGGUUUCCUUGGAACCCAAGUGUGGAGCACAUCCAGUCCUCACCAGGAACCAGAAAAACAGCCCUCGCCAUGCUACUUGGCUCAGAGUGACCAUCAAUAAUUGUUGCUAUUGGGGCACGUGGGUGGCUCAGUCGGUUAAGUGUCCUACUUCGACUCAGAUCGUGAUCUCGUGGUCUGUGAG